GUGUAUUAUACUCCUUUUCUAUCAAAAGAGAGAGGAAGGAAAGAAUGGUAGGCUAUAUGCAAAAUUAAGUCUCGGGCCGUUCAUUACGCACUCGAAGAAGAAGAAAAGUCCCAUUUAUCAGAAUACUUUUAGGAGGAUGAAACAUCUGGAGUUCAUCAGUCUUUCAUAGAUACAAAGUUGGAUGCUCCAGAUUUUCUCCUACGUGAUAGCCAACAUGAGGAGGUAGAUAAUUCUAAGUUUGUUUUAAAGGAUAAUCCUAUCCAAGAAGGGGAAG
rnacentral:lncRNA from 1 species